rnacentral:lncRNA from 1 species
AGCCAGCACAGCUUCAGUUACAAUUAUGCAGCAUAAUUCCCUGCGAUAGAAGGGUAGUGACAAUAAUAAAUUCAAAUGCAUUCAGAUAAAUAAUUUUAAAGCAAAUGCACAUUGCUGGAGGAUAUUCACCAAGCAGACAAAAAAAAAAAAAAAAAAAAAAAAAAAAAAAAAAAAAAAAAAAAAAAAAAAAAAAAAAAAAAAAGCCCAGUAGCCUAAUAUGUUAUUUCUUGGGAAUAGUUCUUUCUGCCCUCAGGCUGAUAUAUUCUUUGGGAACACUUUAAUGCAGUUCCUAUAAUUAGUGAGUACUUCACAAUCACCUUCCAGAGAAUUAUAUCUUUCUGUAACACUCUCUGCGUGUGCUUUGAAGGCAUCGAAGCAUACAAGGUUCUUGUCUCAGCAGAAGAAAGGCUGCAGGGCAGAACCGGGGCAGGGGGCUUUACAGCGUUGCCAGGAGGCACCAGCUCGGUUUCCCUGCAGCAGGCACAUCUCUCCUCUUUGAGAAACACUGAGCAAGUUAGCAAACCCAGCAGGUGGAUCAGGCUCUGCACAGACACUUUGCAAAGCUGUAUUCCUGUCUGGGAAAUCACUGACCUCACCAGACAUCCUCAGUGUUCCAGCAAGAGGUAAGGACUGGGACCAAGUAUGAGGAAAGGUGAGUAUAAGUAGCAGUAUGGCACCUUCACAACUCACUAUAAUUUAAAUCAAUUUAAUAUUUCCCUCCAAACUGAUGAAAUAUUACCUUUGGCACAACAUAUCCACACUUCCCUCUGUCUUUGCAGCCAGGCUGCAUUCCCAGUGAUGUUGAAUUGACUGCAUGUUUGACAGCCAUGUCACCUUCUCUGACAUCUAAGGAGGCAUUUCCUUUGCUCCCUGACCAGCAACUUGACAAGCAGUGCAUCAAGAAGAUGAUGGCAGUAUUUUUAUGAGUAAAGGACAAAGAAAUGCAAUAAAAGCUGUCUGUUUUGGUGAUCA